rnacentral:tRNA from 2 species
GCCCUUGUAGCUCAGUGGAUAGAGCGUCCGUCUCCGGAACGGAAGGUCACGAGUCCGAUUCUCGUUGAGGGCAC